rnacentral:rRNA from 1 species
UACGUAGGGCGCGAGCGUUGUCCGGAAUUAUUGGGCGUAAAGAGCUCGUAGGCGGUUCGAUAAGUCGGACGUGAAAUCUCCACGCUCAACGUGGAGGGGCCGUUCGAUACUGUCGUGACUCGAGUCCGGUAGGGGAGUGUGGAAUUCCCGGUGUAGCGGUGAAAUGCGCAGAGAUCGGGAGGAACACCCGUAGCGAAGGCGGCACUCUGGGCCGGUACUGACGCUGAGGAGCGAAAGCGUGGGGAGCAAACAGG